rnacentral:rRNA from 1 species
GUCCACGCUGUAAACGAUGUGUGCUAGACGUUGGGGAGCCUAGCUCUUCGGUGUCGCAGCUAACGCUUUAAGCACACCGCCUGGGGAGUACGGCCGCAAGGUUAAAACUCAAAGGAAUUGACGGGGCCCGCACAAGCGGUGGAGCAUGUGGUUUAAUUCGACGCAACGCGAAGAACCUUACCAGCCCUUGACAUGUCCGGUAUGGGUGGGGAGACCCCAUUCUUCAGUUCGGCUGGCCGGAACACAGGUGCUGCAUGGCUGUCGU